rnacentral:rRNA from 1 species
GACGAACGCUGGCGGCGUGCUUAACACAUGCAAGUCGAACGGAAAGGCCCUGCUUUUGUGGGGUGCUCGAGUGGCGAAAAGGUGAGUAACACGUGAGUAACCUGCCCUUGACUUUGGGAUAACUUCAGGAAACUGGGGCUAAUACCGGAUAGGAGCUCCUGCUGCAUGGUGGGGGUUGGAAAGUUUCGGCGGUUGGGGAUGGAUUCGCGGCUUAUCAGCUUGUUGGUGGGGUAGUGGCUUACCCAGGCUUUGAGGGGUAGCCCGCCUGAGAGGGUGACCGGCCACAUUGGGACUGAGAUACGGCCCAGACUGCUACGGGAGGCAGCAGUGGGGAAUAUUGCACAAUGGGCGGAAGCCUGAUGCAGCAACGCCGCGUGCGGGAUGACGGCCUUCGGGUUGGAAACCGCGUUCGCCUGUGACGAAGCGUGAGUGACGGUAAUGGGUAAAGAAGCACCGGCUAACUACGUG